AGUGAACGCUGGCGGUAGGCCUAACACAUGCAAGUCGAACGGCAGCACAGGAGAGCUUGCUCUCUGGGUGGCGAGUGGCGGACGGGUGAGGAAUACAUCGGAAUCUACUUUUUCGUGGGGGAUAACGUAGGGAAACUUACGCUAAUACCGCAUACGACCUACGGGUGAAAGCAGGGGACUUUCGGGCCUUGCGCGGUUGAAUGAGCCGAGGUCGGAUUAGCUAGUUGGCGGGGUAAAGGCCCACCAAGGCGACGAUCCGUAGCUGGUCUGAGAGGAUGAUCAGCCACACUGGAACUGAGACACGGUCCAGACUCCUACGGGAGGCAGCAGUGGGGAAUAUUGGACAAUGGGCGCAAGCCUGAUCCAGCCAUACCGCGUGGGUAAAGAAGGCCUUCGGGUUGUAAAGCCCUUUUGUUGGGAAAGAAAUCCAGCUGGCUAAUACCCGGUUGGGAUGACGGUACCCAAAGAAUAAGCACCGGCUAACUUCGUGCCAGCCGCCGCGGUAA
rnacentral:rRNA from 1 species